rnacentral:lncRNA from 1 species
CAUAUUUCUGGCUUGCCAAACCAGGGCACAAUCUAUGAUCACGGCCAUACCAAUAAUAGUGGUCUGAUAAGAUAUUCUAUGGUCAUGAUACUAUUUAACCAAAGGUGACCCCUAACAGAUAUCCACGUCACCAUUCUCGUUAGAGGGUACACCGUCAUUCACAGGGAACGAUUCUCUUAUGUCUUUCCAAACCAGAUGGGGGAUGGGGAAAACAAAUCCCCGGAUGGGGAUAGGGGAACAGAUACUACUCAUAGAUAAAAAACGUAACGGGAUACUUGAUGCGUUAUGCAUGUCAAUACAGGUACAUACUUCGGAUCAUACAUGCUUCAUUCCACUUUUCUUUUCUUUUUUUUUUC